UCGGAUGUAACUUUUCGAGUAGAUGAUUUUUCAUAUAAAAAACUUUUUCAUCCGAGUUCGUAUGCAAAAGUUAUGCCCAUUUUAAGAAUUUCCACAGAGAUUUUGCAAAUAAAGUCGAAAUUCAUAUUUGUUAAUUUUCCCAACAACUAGACCACAUAUCACAUGAGAAACUUAUUUUAUUUUAUUUUUUUGACAUUUCCAUCAUUUUCUUUUGUUUUUUCUAAAACUGAAAAGGCGAUCCGGGGGGGGUAGAGUUUGAAAAUGAGGCCUCAAAUCCCU
rnacentral:rRNA from 1 species